UAUGCUUUGUCUUUGUUAAUAUUUUUUAUAGUGUAGUCUUGGCGAAAUUUGUGAUUAUAGAAGUAUAAAAUACAAUCAUAAUAGUGUACAAACUUACAAUUCCAAUUAAUUAUAGUCGAAUUUCGACUACUGCGGGACCUCUAGUUUGUUUUAAUAUACAGCAUAAUUGUUUUAAGUCAGUGCCAACCUAUCAAGUCCUUGGUGAAUAACCUGGAUGUUUUUUUUCACCUACCUAUUCUAGUAAUCUCGAGGGGCUAUACUAGAUUCACAGAACGAGAUUUCAGCCGGCUGGCCAGAUUGGCUUCCAGUGAGAGCCUGGUGACUACCAGCAGAGUUUCGUGGGCCUUGGAGUCCUGCGCUGGCUCCUCCUGAAGACCCAGCGUGGGGGGGAAGGUACAGGUCUUUGUCGAGUCGAUCAGCUGCCACCGCCGCUAAAGCGAAGAUUAUCAGCUGAGAAAAACACAAAAUUUCAUAUUUAAAAUGAAAUAUGCUUAAUUUUGUUCUUUGUUAUUUUUGUAGAUGAGCAGAUAAGUGGGUACAUCUGUAUUUCAAGGGAGUCGUUUAGUGGUUGAAUAUAUCAGCAGUAGUAAUAUCACAGCACUAAUAUUUUCGGCCGUCAAGUCUCACAUACCCCAUACGUCCUUUAGCCUCGGGAACCUCAAAGCAGGAUCGGCCACCAGACCGAGAAUAAAGUACACCUAAGCUUUUAUCGAUGCUAUACUAAGACCUUAAACCUCAUAUCUCAAGGGGGGUGGCGCAUUUACGUUGUAGAUGUCUAUAGGCUCCAUUAACCACUCAACACCAGGUGGGCUAUAAGAUCGUCCACUCAUCGAAGCAAUAAAAAAAAGGUACCACAAUCCUCUCUAUUUUUUAACGCGAAGCAUCAUGCGUUCCAGUUGGGAAGGUGAACCAUGCAAAUAAUACAGUGAUAUUUCGCCCCGUGUCUCAAGCUGGGUAGCGGCAGGUUUAUGGAUGAUGAAGAAUUGAAAAAAUAGCUUCAAAUUUAUUCAAUUUCUGUUGCCCGUUCUAAUUUAGCUUCUGUAUACGUUUUGUAAAGUCGGGGAACCGCAUGAUGUUGUGGUUCAAAGAUAAUAACUAACUUCAAUCUGUGGUUUCUUUGUGAACGCGUGAAAACCGCGUAAAGCGCGUAUAACAUUUCAUUUAUUGUACUUGCUCAAGGUAUUAAGGGUAAGUUUCACAAUGUUUUGUAAUGUUUACAAGGACUAGCGGUCCCGCAGUAGUCGAAAUUCGACUAUAAUUAAUUGAAAUUAUAAGUUUGAACAUUAUUAUGGUUAUAUUGCCAAAGACUAUUUAUUAUACUUCUAUAAUCACAGAUUUCGCCAAGACUAUAACAAAUAAUAUUAAAGAUAAACAAUAUUAACCUAUUUUCAAUUUGACCACAUACUUUAAGUACCUAUUAACUAAAGUUUGACAAUAAACAAAAAGUAGGUAUAUAUUUACAUAAGUGUGUGUGCCGAAUACAUGGCAGUGUAUUGAAUGUUUUCUUUAUUGAUUUAAUGUAUAUCUUUUAUACAUUAUUUAAAAAAAUUUUUAUCAUUGUGCACUCCUUCUCUAUAUUCUCUAUAAGUGUGGGAAAUUUCAUACUCUUCCGUCCGCGCAAUUUUCGUAAAAAGGGCUACAAAGUUUUUGCUUCACGUAUAGAUACGUUGGUUUAUUAAUUUGUAGUCAAGUAGGAGCUUUUAUCACGUUGAAUUAGAUAGCUGGACGAGCGCACGCCCCAUCCGAUAUUAAGAGGCUACGGCAGCUCACGAAUAUGAUAAUAAAAAUGCCGCUAUGCAACUUUAAAGAGUAAUAACGUCUAUCCCACCCCUCAAACUAGAGCGAAUGAUGGCGUCGCGGUAGGAAUAGUUAAGAUGGCGGCAACUACCCAUGCGGUCCCAGAACACGCCCUACCACCAAUGAUACGCAAAUUGAAAAUUUUAUACGCAAUUAAAUAAAUAAAUGAAUAAAUAAAUAAAUAAAAAUUACUACACGUUAAAGUUGAAAGAUUAAUAAAAAAUACGCUCCGAAUUGAGAACUCCUCGCUAAUUAAGACGCUUUUAUUAGCUUCAUACGUAUGUUAGUAUGAAUGCUUUUUAAGAUAUUAUCAAAACGAUAAUCCUUCUACUUAUAUCUGUCAAUAAAAUAUUUAUAACUAUUGAUACAAUGCACAACAUGGUUUUUUUUACAACAAAAUUUUUUACAAUUUUUUUUGUUGGAUUUUCUAUAGAUAAGAUUUUUUUUUUUUUAUCUAUUAUUUUUUUUAUAGUGAUAUACUACUAAUAAAAUUUUGUUUUAUUUUAUAUUUUAGGUGACACGAAAUGGUAUUCAAAACGGAAUCAUUUAUUUCGAAUUUUGAUGUCAUUUUAAAUUCAUAUUUACUGAAUUUCAAAACAAAUGCAAUCACCGAUCCAUAAAGAGCCUUCCGGAGAACUCAAAUAACGACUUCAGCUAGCUUACUUAAUAUAAAAAAAAAUGUAUAUUUAAUUUGGAUUUAUUUUAAAAACAAAAGGAAUUAUAAUUUCUUCACUUCACUUGAUUCGUACAACAAUUACUAUGACAAAAUAAACGUAAGGUCUGAAUUGAGAA